AUUGAACGCUGGCGGCGGGCCUAACACAUGCAAGUCGAACGAGUGGAGGACGGGUGUGUAAUGUCUGGGACACUGCCCGAUGGAGGGGGUUAACUACUGGAACCGGUAGCUAAUACCGAAUACCAUCGGAUGUUCCCAGAUGGGCUUAGCUAGUGGGUGGGGUAACGGGUCGCCUCGACGACGAUCCCUAGCUGGUCUGAGAGGAUGAACAGGCACACUGGAACUGAGGCACGGUCCAGACUCCUACGGGAGGCAGCAGUGGGGGAAAUUGCACAAUGGGCGCAAGGCUGAUGAAGCCAAGGCGGGUGUAUGAAGAGGGCGUUCGGGUUGUAAAGUACGUUCAGCGAGGAGGCGGUAGGCGCAGAAGAAGCGCCGGCUAACUACGUGCCAGCCGCCGCGGUAAUUC
rnacentral:rRNA from 1 species